UUAUGGCUCAGGACGAACGCUGGCGGUAUGCUUAACACAUGCAAGUCGAACGAGACGAGAUGGAAGGAUCCUUCGGGUGACGGAAAUCUUAGAAAGUGGCGAACGGGUGAGUAACGCGUGGGUAACCUGCCCUAUGGAAAGGAAUAGCCUCGGGAAACUGGGAGUAAUGCCUUAUAAUACAUUGAAGUCGCAUGGCUUUGAUGUUAAACGCUCCGGUGCCAUAGGAUGGACCCGCGUCCCAUUAGCUAGUUGGUGAGAUAACAGCCCACCAAGGCGACGAUGGGUAACCGGUCUGAGAGGGCGAACGGUCACACUGGAACUGAGACACGGUCCAGACUCCUACGGGAGGCAGCAGUGGGGAAUAUUGCGCAAUGGGGGGCAACCCUGACGCAGCAAUACCGCGUGAGUGAAGAAGGUUUUCGGAUCGUAAAGCUCUGUUAUUGGGGAAGAGAAAAAGACGGUACCCAAGAAGAAAGUCCCGGCUAACUACGUGCCAGCCGCGGC
rnacentral:rRNA from 1 species